AUGGAAACUAGUACUAUUGUUCAGGAUUAUAGAGAAAUCUAUUCGGUGGGAGAUAUGGAUGAGGAAGAGAGAAAUCAGGGAAGGAGUCCUAUCUGUACAAUAAAGGAAAAUAGAGAAAUUAGUGGGAUUUUAUUUUGGAAACUGCCCAUUUAUGAUCCUUUAAUUUUUGUUAAGUGUACAAUUUUCGUCCAGUUGGUGGAGAUUCUGGGAGAGGGGGUAUACUAUAUCAACUACAGAGGGGGGAGGGGUUUCUUCCCUGUACGAGCUGUAUUAGUGUGUAAGGAAGAGAUGGAGAUGGAGAGGAAGGGGGAGGCGGAGAUGGAGAUGGGUCAGGGAUCGGGGAGUGUGCCGGCGACCAUGGGGAGCGGUUCUCCUGCUCUGGCUACCUCACCUGGGGGCGAGAGGAUGAAGGAGUCCAUGCGGCCCUGUGGGGAUGACUCACCGCUGGUCAUCGAUAUGGAGGCCGCCAGGAGGGCUGUGAGGGGUUUCUUGGUGGUAGGGCGACUUCUGUCGCCAUUCCAAGUUCGCCCGCAGGUCCUUGUCGAUGACCUUCGUGCUUCGUCGGCUUGGAGGCUAAAAGGCGAGGUCACCGUCCAGGAGGUGGACAGCGACGAUGGGAGGUUCAUCCUGAACUUCUCCGCCGACGUGGACAGACGCUUUGUAUUGAAGGCCCAGCCGUGGCACCAUAAGCGUGAUGGGAUCGUCUUCGCCGAGUUCGACGGCAAGGGUAACCCAACGAAGGUGGAUCUUGGAACCAUGGCUAUUUGGGCCCAGGUUUGUGACCUACCGUUUGAGCUUAAAACUGAAGAUGUGGGUACGUCUCUAGGGGCCAAAUUGGGGAAGUGA
rnacentral:rRNA from 1 species